UACGUAGGGUGCAAGCGUUGUCCGGAAUUAUUGGGCGUAAAGGGCUCGUAGGCGGUCCAUCGCGUCGGGAGUGAAAAGCUGGGGCUCAACCCCAGUCCUGCUUCCGAUACGGGUGGACUAGAGGUAGGCAGGGGAGAACGGAAUUCCUGGUGUAGCGGUGAAAUGCGCAGAUAUCGGGAGGAACACCAAUGGCGAAGGCAGCUCGCUGGGACGUUACUGACGCUGAGACGCGAAAGCGUGGGGAGCAAACAGG
rnacentral:rRNA from 1 species